UACGGGGGGGGCAAGCGUUGUUCGGAAUUACUGGGCGUAAAGGGCUCGUAGGCGGCCAACUAAGUCAGACGUGAAAUUCCUCGGCUUAACCGGGGAACUGCGUCUGAUACUGGAUGGCUAGAGGUUGGGAGAGGGAUGCGGAAUUCCAGGUGUAGCGGUGAAAUGCGUAGAUAUCUGGAGGAACACCGGUGGCGAAGGCGGCAUUCUGGACCAGUACUGACGCUGAGGAGCGAAAGCGUGGGGAGCAAACAGG
rnacentral:rRNA from 1 species